rnacentral:lncRNA from 1 species
CAUUGAACAUUUUGUUUUCAAUAGUCACAUGUGUAAACAUGUAUAUUUCCCAUCUUUUAUUUGUUAAAGCUUAUCUUUUUAAAGAUUUGUUUUGUUGUUAACAUGAUUAUAUUCAUUUCAGUGGAUUUUUUUGCAACUUAUACAUUACUAUGCAAUUUUGGUAUAAGACAAUUAGUUGUUUCAGAAUUUUCCCGGUUAAAAACAAAAAUUUCAAAAGUGCACAAUCAGCUAACUUGAUUGGUUAAAAAUGUUCCAAACAAUUGAAACUCAACCAACGACAUGAUGUUAUAAUUAUUUUUGGGUACCAAGAAUGAAAUUAUACCAAAUCCUUCAGAUUCUUGAAUUGUGAACUUAAAACAGUAUCUCGGAUGAAAUACGUUUAUCUUAAUGUGUUAAAAAUUCAAUAUCUUAUAACCAUGAUGUCCAAAUUAAAUUAUAAAAAUUAAAUCUUCUAAUUCGUAUUGUAUUUCUUGAAAUAAAAUAUCAUUUAAAUGA